CUGCUUUCCAAAUUAUUUGCCGUUUUUUUAUUUUCUUGUUCUAAUAGGGUUAUCCUUUUUGAAACUAUAAUAUGUGUUCUUAUAGUGUAUUUUACUUUUACGAGAUAUGGUCUAGACAGACAAAAGGGGGAGGGAUGUGAGUAUGUUAACCUAGUAAACUUAUCAGAUACUGUGAUUGUACUGAAUAAUCUUAUCUGGAUCAUGAUUUGAUCGCUGUUGUAUGUCUUUGUUUGUAAAUAUAAAAUUAAGAGGAUGUGGAAAGGUUGCCAAUGAAACCAAAUGGCGAAAGAUCACCGUACAGUACUCAACAAUGAACAAAACACAUACCACAUAGUUAGCUAUAGAAAGCUCCAAAACGAUCUUCCGUAAAUAAAUUCAAACGAGAAAACUAACGACAAGAUUU
rnacentral:lncRNA from 1 species